rnacentral:lncRNA from 1 species
CCCCCCCAAAUUUCGAUAUUGGAAUCACUUUCCUUCUUCCUCGGGCCAGCCUUUGCUCUGUCCCCUCAGGUCAACUCAAGGUAGACAGUGUGGCGACUGGAGAGGUCGGGGAACAAGCUUUGUUUCAGCUAAGGGAAAAACAAGCGUUCACAGGAGUCCCCGGACACCUCCCACUCGGGAGAUAGUUAACGGGGGUCCUGCCAACCCUUCCCAUCCAACUUCCAUCUGAAAAGGAUUUUCUGCUAAAGUUGGGUCCAUGGCCAUCCAGCACCUAUAAGGCCGGCAGGAGCGUCUGCCCUCUACUCAGUUAAAGCCUGAAGUCGUUUCCUUUCGAUGGCGCUUAGGAGGCCCAAAAGAGGGGCGACAGAACAUGAUGUGACACGGGCCGGGCGCCCCCAGAAGCCCGGGAACAAACGUUUCUACUUUCCAGGUCCACUGGUGUUUGGUGUACCCAUGUGACUAAUUUGUCCAAAGAGAGAUUUACCUCAGAAGACACCUGUAUAAAAGGAAGAGGUCCCUAUGAA